rnacentral:rRNA from 1 species
UACGUAGGGUGCAAGCGUUAAUCGGAAUUACUGGGCGUAAAGCGUGCGCAGGCGGCUUUGCAAGACAGAUGUGAAAUCCCCGGGCUCAACCUGGGAACUGCAUUUGUGACUGCAAGGCUAGAGUACGGUAGAGGGGGAUGGAAUUCCGCGUGUAGCAGUGAAAUGCGUAGAUAUGCGGAGGAACACCGAUGGCGAAGGCAAUCCCCUGGACCUGUACUGACGCCUCAUGCACGAAAGCGUGGGGAGCAAACAGG